rnacentral:rRNA from 1 species
AACGAACGCUGGCGGCAUGCUUAACACAUGCAAGUCGAACGAGACCUUCGGGUUUAGUGGCGCACGGGUGCGGAACGCGGGGGAACCUGCCCGUAGGUUCGGAAUAACUCCCCGAAAGGGGUGCUAAUACCGCAUAAUGUCUUCGGACCAAAGAUUUAUUGCCUGUGGUUGGGCCUGGGUUGGAUUCGGUAGUUGGUAGGGUAAAAGCCUCCUAAGGCGAUGAUCCAUAGGUGGUGUGUGAGGAGGAUCAGCCACACUGGGACAGGGCCACGGCCCAGACUGCUACGGGAGGCAGGAGUGGGGGAUAGUGGACAGUGGGCGAAAGCCAGAACCAGCGAUGCCGGGUGAGUGAUGAAGGGGUUGGAGUUGUAAAGCGCUUUUACCGGGGAGGGUGAGGACAGUACCGGUAGAGAAGGAUCCGGCUAACUCCGU